GGUGAGUGUGAGUGUGAGCGCGACCACAGCCCGGCAGGUCCCGAGGCGCUAGCUGGGACUCUGCCACGGAAAGUUCCCAGUCCCCGGCCGCAGGAUGGGAAGGUCCCUUGGGGCUUCCUGGUAAUGAAUGACCUGAGAGCAACACCGCCACAACCUGCGGGGAAAGGAGAGUCGUUUCCCCGACCCCGAGAUCUGAAGGAUUGAAAUGACAUGUUUUGAGAUCUUCAAGCUGACUCAUCAGAAUCCUGGAGCAUUUUUUAAA